rnacentral:rRNA from 1 species
UACGUAGGGUGCAAGCGUUAAUCAGAAUUACUGGGCGUAAAGCGUGUGUAGGCGGUUAUGUAAGACAGAGGUGAAAUCCCUGGGCUCAAUUUGGGAACUGCCUUUGUGACUGCAUAGCUAGAGUACGGCAGAGGGGGAUGGAAUUCCGCGUGUAGCAGUGAAAUGCGUAGAUAUGCGGAGGAACACCGGAUGGCGAAGGCAAUCCCCCUGGGCCUGUACUGACGCUCAUGCACGAAAGCGUGGGGAGCAAACAGGAUUAGAUACCCUAGUAGU